rnacentral:rRNA from 1 species
ACGGGAGGCAGCAGUGGGGGAUAUUGCACAAUGGGGGAAACCCUGAUGCAGCAAUGCCGCGUGAGGGAAGACGGUCUUCGGAUUGUAAACCUAAGUAGUCAGGGAUGAGGAAAGUGACAUUACCUGAAGAGUAAGCUCCGGCUAACUACGUGCCAGCAGCCGCGGUAAUACGUAGGGAGCGAGCGUUGUCCGGAUUUACUGGGUGUAAAGGGUGCGUAGGCGGGCUUGCAAGUCAGGCGUGAAAUACCGGGGCUUAACUCCGGGGCUGCGCUUGAAACUGUAAGUCUUGAGUGAAGUAGAGGCAGGCGGAAUUCCCAGUGUAGCGGUGAAAUGCGUAGAGAUCAGGAAGAACACCGAUGGCGAAGGCAGCUUGCUGGGGACUUAUCGACGCUCAUGCUCGAAAGUGCGGGUAGCAAACAGGAUUAGAUACCCUGGUA